rnacentral:misc_RNA from 1 species
AGCAAACUGGUGCUAUUGAAGAUCAUAAAUUUGGCGGUGCAAAAUGUGUCAUCUUCAUUUAAUUGUUUUUUCUUCAUUUUUAAGACUAACUAUUGUGUUGUAGUACAUUAUGCUGCAGUUGUGCAAAUGCCAGAAGUAGUUAGACACAGAUUCUUCAGUUCAAUUCUGUAGCUGCUUUUCCCCCGUGAAAUCCAGAGUAGUUGAUAAUGUGUUUGGAUCCAUACUUUUAGAAUGAGCUCAUUUGGAC